rnacentral:rRNA from 1 species
CCUACGGGUGGCAGCAGUGGGGAAUCUUUGGCAAUGGGCGCAAGCCUGACCCAGCAACGCCGCGUGAAGGAAUAAGGCUUUCGGGUUGUAAACUUCUUUUAUCAGGGACGAAGCAAGUGACGGUAGCUGCUGAAUAAGCCACGGCUAACUACGUGCUAGCAGCCGCGGUAAUACGUAGGUGGCAAGCGUUAUCCGGAUUUACUGGGUGUAAAGGGCGUGUAGGCGGGAGUGCAAGUCCGAUGGGAAAACUAUGGACUCAACCCAUGGCCGGCAUUUGAAACUGUUCGUCUUGAGUGAUGGAGGGGGAAUCGGAAUUCCGGGUGUAGCAGUGAAAUGCGUAGAUAUACAGAGGAACACUAGUGGCGAAGGCGGGUAUCUGGCACAUAACUGACGCUGAGGAACGAAGGCGUGGGUAGCGAACGGGAUUAGAUACCCUAGUAGUC